rnacentral:rRNA from 1 species
UACGGGGGGGGGCAAGCGUUGUUCGGAAUUACUGGGCGUAAAGGGCUCGUAGGUGGCCAACUAAGUCAGACGUGAAAUCCUUCGGCUUAACCGGGGAACUGCGUCUGAUACUGGAUGGCUUGAGUUCGGGAGAGGGAUGCGGAAUUCCAGGUGUAGCGGUGAAAUGCGUAGAUAUCAGGAAGAACACCCGUGGCGAAGGCGGUUCUCUGGGACGGUACUGACGCUGAGACGCGAAAGCGUGGGGAGCGAACAGG